rnacentral:sRNA from 1 species
GUUGAUUGGGAAACUCAUCAAAUUUUAAUGAAAUGCCGAGACAACCUCGCUUUCCAAUGGCGGGCCCCAGCCUCCUUUCGGGGAGGACGCAGCUUAUCCUUCGGGAUUCCUGCCAGGCGGAUUACAAAGGACUGUGAGAACUCAAAACCUGUCUUUCGGAGUUUCAUCGCAUCCUUUGAUGUGGCAU